rnacentral:lncRNA from 1 species
AGAGAGAGAGAGAGAUUCUAUUACAUACGUUCAUACACACAUACAUUCAAGCUCAACCAAUGUUGCCUCAUCUCCCUGAUGAAGACUGCAGCCUCAGCUCCAUGUUGUCGCUCUUAGUGGGUAAUCAUCGGUGAGUUUCAUCGGUCCAGUCUCACUCUUCUUCUGCAAAUUUCUCCCUUAACAGCAUGAUCACAGCCCACACCAUCUUUUCUAGGAGCCUGCUCUUAGUGGAUGGAUGGAUGGAUGGAUGGAUGGAUGGCUCUUUGUGGAUAAAGCUGCAGAAUGUGGUGCUAGUGCUCGUCACAAAUGGCAAGAUUCAUGGAGACAGCUGAGGAAAACACCUGUGACAAACUCCUGAAAGGUAAGAAAUCCUUUCUCCUACUUCAUUUCUUAAAGAAAUUAAGAAACUGUACGACUUGUUAGGAGGUUACACCCCCAGCUUUGUCCUGCUCACCUGGGAUCUCUUAGCCAAGGAUGCUCAGUUCACAGGGGAUUUACCUCCUGCUUACACCAGCCUUUCAUUAAAGUUGCUUCUCUGUGCAGAAAAGAAACACAACACCAGUUUGUAUUGUGAGUUGCCUCACUUCACACACUGUGGUGUUUUUAAUGCACAUACGGGCUCAGUUUUUAUUUACUCAGAUGCAAGAGUGGAGGAAGUAUUCAAAUAUGUUAGUGUAGGCUCAAAAACAAUCCACAAGACAAGAUAAACUGCUGUGUUUAACAUUUCUCUCCAGUAAAUGUGUUGAUACAGUAUGUUUGGAUUAUUGUUACUAUUACUUAUUUCUUUUUUUAAACAAUAAGCAAGCAAUACAGAAUUUAACACACAAUUAAAACAUGCAAAAUACAAAUAUACAGAACUUUUGUUCUAUUUUAGGUGUUGGGACAGGUUGCUGAUUUUCCUUGCAUUUAAAUUUAACUUAUUUCCAUGUAUUUGUAAUUUACUUUUUCUUGCGACUUUUGACUUGAGUCCUUUAACUGAAAUUGUCAAGAAAUUUAGUGUAGUAACGUGUAACAUUUACCUCUGACCUAUGGAGAAGCUGCAGAAUGGGGUAGUAUGAAAUUAAAAUAUUAUUCCUGACAAAUGCCCACUGAUGUUUCAUUUCACUUUUGAUUUCUUCACAUAAUUUAAAGAACCUUCUGGAGAGUCCCAGAGAAGAUGGCCUUCUGGAGUAGAAAAACUCACAUCGGUAAGAUUUGUUUUUCUGUAUCUUCUUGGUUUGGAGUUAACAGGUUGAAACUUGUGCAGAAAAAGUGAAAUGUUAUUGUUUGUCUGGAAAUCAGCUUUUCCUCUCACAGUUCCACCGGUAAUCCACAACCUACGGAGUAUACGCCAUGCUGUUGUGGAGAAACAAUGUGUUAUGUUCACAAACCUUUUAAUUAUAUGUUUAAGCAGACCUCUAAAGAUCAGAAAGGUGUCUUAAUAAUUAAUGGUCAUUGUAGCAGGGUGAGGACAGUCUGUUGUGUGAGAAGGUCUCCUCUGUGUACAUGCGCUCUAAAUAAUUCAACAACGAUUUAACCUUGUUGGAUCUGACAGUGUGCUGAUAAUGUAGACCUCUCAUGAAUGUUUUCACCAUGCUGCUGCGGUCUGAUAUUUAUUUUGUUGUUUGUGAGUCAGUGUAUAUAUUGACUGUUUAAAAAGCGUGACUUAAGAUAAUCAUGAAUCUUAAUGCAUUAUGUUGACAAAUGAAGCAGGAAGUAAAUGCUGAACAGGAACUGAAAAAUGAAGCCUUUACUAUCAUACUUAUAUUAAGUGUCCUGGUGGAUUCAUGUGUAUUGAUCACAUAUGUGUGUUAAUAGUGAAAUAUAAAAUUUCAACCACAGGACAGUUCUUUCUCAUCAUUUUGUGGAUAAAGGCAUAAUUGUGUUCAUAGAGAAUGGUUUGUGGAAGUGGCUUUGAGCCCAUGCGGUGGUUUUCACUGCAGAGUCACGUCAAACUUCACUCUGAUAACAAGCUGGGCCCUCUCUUUGCAAAUACGAGUACAUGGUGUCCAUGAUUUCCAAAAACAAAUGACCAGAAGGCAAAAGACCAGAGGCAUCUUCCCAUACAGUUCUCAACUAAGUCCAUCUUAAAGUGAACCUGAAAUCUCAUGUACUGUACAUGUUAAAGAAGUUUUUUCAGACAAAAUCUUCAUCCUGUUGUUUCCUGACAAUGAAAGUUAUCACUCACUGUGAGUCUUUGUCGUGUAAAAAGGCCAAACGUCUAUUUUUCAGCCUGCUGUCAAUCAUCUUGUCUGACAUCUAGAAAUCACCACAGUGAAAUCAUCAGACUUGUUGCUGAUGGUCUUUUUUUUGCUUUUGAAUGUCAUUAGAAAACAGAAGGUAUGGAGUUAAAGCAGUCUGACCUUCUCCUACUGACAUGUAACAAACACGGACGUCAUUGAAGUCAGAUAGCCUGAACGAGUGACAUCUGCCAGCAGGUGACUAAGUGCUGCGGUUGGCACUGCUUCCUCCCAACAAGUGGGUUCAGGGUUUGGUAAGAGGUUACAGCACUCCCUUUUUGGGGCAAGACAAUUCUUGCUUUUUCAUACUUAUAUGCAGAUCUUGACUCGUACAGACAAGAAUGAACUUGUAAAUUAUACAACCUGAACAGGAGGGAGGUGUGUUUACACAACGAUCAGAUCUACUUCUAUACAGGAAGUAGGUUCGGAGCUUGUAGCCAGGCUUGGGCCUUCAGUUUUUGGAACAAAGUUGUUCUGGCCUUUCCCCACUGGAAUGUUGAACAUGAUUCAAAGUACUUGUCAUUGUAAGUAAAAAAAGACAUCAGCAUGUGACACCUACCAGCUGGUAACUUGGCACAAUGGUUAGCACUGCUGCCCCAAGGGGCAAGUUAAAGUUCAUUCAGGGUUAAAGGCGAGAGCGUCUCCCUGUAUGGAGCAGGAAGGUUUUUGUUUUCUCCUACUUGAGUGUCUACCCUGUUUUUGAACCGCCAGAAUGGACUUGUAGGUGAAAUUACCCGAACACACAUUAAUUGUGUUGUUAUUCUACAGUGAGCUCUGCUGCCGAUUGAGAUGUUGGCUCUGGUUUAGGUUAAAGGAAUGUACUUGAAAGUCACAAAUAAAACUGCUGGGCAGGUGUGAGCUGGCGGUUAGAACUGCUUUCUGGUUCUACUUACAAAUCCCAGACAUGUUUGGCGGAAUGAGAGGCUUGAAUACUUGAUUUAUUUCUAAACCAUCACAAUCUUAUCUUAUAAACUUGUCUGCUGAUGACUCUGUGUUCUCUGUAUCUAGAGAAGGAGCGCCUUGUGAAAGCCAAUGCAGGGGACUACAACGAUAAAUUCCAUUAUGCAGUAAGUAGACCUGAAAAUGUUUUUACAUCUUCUCCAUCCACAUGUCAGCUUGUUUUAUCCCAACAUUUUUGCCGUUCAAAUAUGUGGGAUUGUUUUCAGGACAACCGCAUCAAAACCUCAAAAUACAACAUGAUCACCUUCCUGCCCAUCAACCUGUUUGAGCAGUUCCAGAGGGUGGCCAAUGCUUACUUCUUAGUGCUGCUGAUACUCCAGGUAAAACACAUGCCGUCUUUUAUCUACAUUUGGCCUCUA